GUAAAUGCAACAGUCCAAUACAACUAAGCAAGAUAUUAUAGCCAAAUGUUUUCUUUCUUUAAAGGAAAUGAUAAUUUACCGGAGGGGGAUUGGCUUGGUUGCCUUGUCGGGUUUCAUGCAGAACUAUAGAGGCAUUUGGAAUUGGGCGUGGGAUUUGAUUGGGAUCAACUUUUGAUGGGCUGGUAUGACCAAUAGAAGGUGUUAUCGAAGCCACUGCCUGAUUUGUAGAGGCAUUUGGAAUUGGGCGCGGGAUUUGAUUGGGAUCAACUUUUGAUGGGCUGGUAUGACCAAUAGAAGGUGUUAUCGAAGCCACUGCCUGAUUUGGAAGAGGAGGCGUCAUUCCGUACAUACUUGGUGGUUGCAUCGAACCAGGAAUAGCAGAAAGUGGAGGCCCCUGUCAAUAAGUAAACUCAGAAUAUGUACUUCACAUGAAAGUGGAAAUACAAUAAAAGCAAACUGAAACCAAUCUACUUGAUCCAAAAUAUCCCCAGAAUUUUAGAAUUUCAUUAGAAAACAAAGGAAAAAACACUUCUUAUCAAAAAUAAAAAAAUAAAGAAAAGUACCAGGUACUUUAGGGUGUUCUUAGAUUAAAUGUAUUAGAAAACAAAGGAAAAACACUUCUUACCAAAACAAACUAAAGAAAACACUAUAUUGGAAAAAUGCCAUGUACUUUAGGGUGUUUUUGAAUUAAAUGUAAAUUUUUUGUGAGGUUGCUAUACCUCUUCUUCUAAUUACGAAGGGAUAGCUAGGUUGUUGUAGCUUCAGUUGUGAAAGACAGUUUCCUUUUCAGAUGGUCCAGCCAAACUUAAGCAAACUUGUAUACUUAAGAUUUUAUUUUUAUUUUUGAUAAAUACUUAUAUACUUAAUAUUAAGACAAUGAUUAUGUAAAUAGUGGCACAUUAAGUAACAAAUUCAUAGAAGGAUUUCAUUAUUUACGCUUUGAAUUAUUUUAGACAAAUAAGCAAAUGAUACUCAAAAGAAAUUUUUAACAAUUUUCAAGAACGUUUGUAUCCCAAGCAAAGAUAUAAAAGCUUAUAAAUAAAAACAAAUCCUAUUUAUAGAGUAAAAAUAAAUAAACAAUAAUAAAAAAUAUUAUUUAAUAGCUUCGAAUAAUGAAAGAAUUCCAUACAACAUGUUAAAAGUUAAAAGAUAAAGUAUCUCACAUAGGUAAUUUUAUUAAUAGCGGAAAAGAUAAAAAGAAAAUUUAUAAUGCACAGACAACAACAAAAAAAACCAGUGUAAUCCUAUAAGUGGGAUCUGGAGAUGGUAGUGUGUACACGGACCUCGCCCCUACCUUGAAAAGAUAGAGAGGUUGUUUCCGAUUGACAUUCGGCUCAAGGAAAGAUGAAAAAUGAAGCAAUGGCAACAUAAUGCACAUAAUACUAAAAUGAGAAUUAUUUAAAAUAGUGGUACAUGUUAUUACAAAUUCAUAAAAGGACUUCUCUAAUUAUCUUUGAAUGAAUUAGAAAUCACAAGUUCCUGGAUAUUAUUGAUUCUUUCUAUCCUACAGUCAUGAAGCAUCUCUUUAACGCUAGAUUUUGAUGAUUACUAAAGAUCAUUAAACGCGUAGAAUUUGAUUAUUGACACAUCUCGUGUGACUUGUUGAUCCAAAAACUUCUGUCCAGAUAAAGAAAUAUAUAUCCUAUGACUUCCUUAUUUUGUAGUCUAUCAUAGGCAAGAACUAAACAUAUCACUCAGCUUCAAAGAUCACAUAAAAUAAAUUAUACUCGGCUAAUGAGUUUAGUGGAAAUUCUUAACACCGUGCAUCUGAAGAAAACUCUUAUUUUUGUCCCUCCAAUAGCAUAUUCACAUGACUCUAUCAUACCUUCAUUUAUGGAAAAAUACAUAAAUUUCACCUUUCAAAACAAGUACAGUAAGAUACGCAUAUAAAAUCACCUGAUGGGGUGGCAUUUGCCACGACUGUGUUCCAUAAGGGGCACCCAUGGAUGGAGGCAUGCCUUGACCAGGUGCUGCAAAUGGAGAGGAACCCGGAGGUGGCACAUUCUGCAAUGAUCCCGAAAAUGGUGCUGGCGGUUGUGUUGUAACUGGUGUUGUGCUGACAGAUGAUGGACCGCCAAAGGGUGAGCGCAUGCUCGGAG
rnacentral:lncRNA from 1 species